AGUAACACGUAUCCAACCUUCCGUUUACUCAGGGAUAGCCUUUCGAAAGAAAGAUUAAUACCUGAUAGUAUGGUGAGAUUGCAUGAUAGCACCAUUAAAGAUUUAUUGGUAAACGAUGGGGAUGCGUUCCAUUAGGUAGUAGGCGGGGUAACGGCCCACCUAGCCGACGAUGGAUAGGGGUUCUGAGAGGAAGGUCCCCCACAUUGGAACUGAGACACGGUCCAAACUCCUACGGGAGGCAGCAGUGAGGAAUAUUGGUCAAUGGGCGAGAGCCUGAACCAGCCAAGUAGCGUGAAGGAUGAAGGUCCUACGGAUUGUAAACUUCUUUUAUACGGGAAUAAAGUAUCCUACGUGUAGGAUUUUGUAUGUACCGUAUGAAUAAGCAUCGGCUAACUCCGUGCCAGCAGCCGCGGUAAUACGGAGGAUGCGAGCGUUAUCCGGAUUUAUUGGGUUUAAAGGGAGCGCAGACGGGAGAUUAAGUCAGUUGUGAAAGUUUGCGGCUCAACCGUAAAAUUGCAGUUGAUACUGGUUUCCUUGAGUGCAGUUGAGGCAGGCGGAAUUCGUGGUGUGGCGGUGAAAUGCUUAGAUAUCACGAAGAACUCCGAUUGCGAAGGCAGCUCACUGGAGCGCAACUGACG
rnacentral:rRNA from 1 species